rnacentral:rRNA from 1 species
UACGAAGGGGGCUAGCGUUGUUCGGAAUUACUGGGCGUAAAGCGCGCGCAGGCGGUCUUCCAAGUCAGUGGUGAAAGCCUGGAGCUCAACUCCAGAACUGCCAUUGAAACUGUUAGACUUGAGUCCGGGAGAGGUGAGUGGAACUGCGAGUGUAGAGGUGAAAUUCGUAGAUAUUCGCAAGAACACCAGUGGCGAAGGCGGCUCACUGGCCCGGUACUGACGCUGAGGUGCGAAAGCGUGGGGAGCAAACAGG